rnacentral:rRNA from 1 species
ACGUACGGCCAUAGAUACUGGAAAGCACGGGAUCGCGUCCGCUCUCCCCUAGUUAAACCAGUAAUCGGCGGAUUAGUAGUUGGGUCGGUGACGACCAGCGAAUACCCGCUGCUGUACGUU